UCUUAUGGAUGAGCCAAGAAAGUGGUCUCUUAAGCUGGGAUCUACUCCUGGUGAAGAUGCUGUGAA
rnacentral:pre_miRNA from 1 species